UACGUAGGGAGCAAGCGUUGUCCGGAAUCAUUGGGCGUAAAGCGCGCGUAGGUGGCUUCGUAAGUCCGCUGUGAAAGUCAAAGGCUCAACCUUUGAAAGCCGGUGGAUACUGUGAAGCUAGAGUACGGAAGAGGCGAGUGGAAUUCCUGGUGUAGCGGUGGAAUGCGCAGAUAGUCAGGAGGAACACCCAAUAGCGAAGGCAGCUCGCUGGGACGUUACUGACACUGAGGCGCGAAAGCGUGGGGAGCGAACCAGGA
rnacentral:rRNA from 1 species